rnacentral:rRNA from 1 species
UACGAAGGGGGCUAGCGUUGUUCGGAAUCACUGGGCGUAAAGGGCGCGUAGGCGGCGCGACAAGUCAGGCGUGAAAGCCCCGGGCUCAACCCGGGAAUUGCGCUUGAUACUGUCGUGCUUGAGGCCGGGAGAGGAUGGCGGAAUUCCCAGUGUAGAGGUGAAAUUCGUAGAUAUUGGGAAGAACACCGGUGGCGAAGGCGGCGACCUAGUCCUUGACUGACGCUGAGGCGCGAAAGCGUGGGGAGCAAACAGG